AAAGGAUUUGGAUGCUCAUGGCCUCUUGGUCAUAGAUACCAGUGGAUCCGUCCGAAAUUCAAGAUUGCUGGACAGUUACCUUGAGCCAAUUGGACGAAACCGAUCCGUUGUACUUGCGGAAAAAGUUUUUCAAUAAAGUUUGGUGUUUGGUGGUGGAGAUCUUCUGUACUCGAGUACACACCGGAGAAAAGCCAUACAAAUGCAUUUGCUCGAACGAACGACCAUUCGUACAGCUCAAAUAGAUAUUUUACGCUGCACAUCCGACGGCACACGGAGAAAACGCCAUACGUAACGCCGUAACGAACGAUUCAUCCAGGGGACGGCCUUGCGGCCCAUCAGUGAACCGCAGGUCACUAUAUGAAAGACGUAGAUAUGAACGGUACACGAUGGCGUCACAAUAGUUCGAUUCAGUGUUUGUGUAUUUUUCCUCAAAGCAUGAUGUGUUUUUCGGUGAUUGGAGAGUUCUGCAGGAGGAUGUUUGGCUGGCACGGAUGAUGAACUGCAGCUCGAUAAGCAAUUGUAUAGAGAUUCUAUUUGGAAUCCGUUCUAAAUUCUACCAAAAAAUACUUUAGCUUUUCGAUCUUUCUAGGAUUUUAUGUUCCCUUCGGAAUCCUUUCAAGAUUCCAUUUGAAAUUAUGUCGCGAUUCUAUUCGCUAUAUCCUUUCGGAAUUCUAUUUGGUAUUUCGAGAUUCCAUUCGGGAAUCCUCAGAGGAUUGGAAUGGAGAAUUCUCAAAGAACUUCGAAUGGUAUCAAAAGAUUUCAAACGUUAUCCAGAAAUAAUUCCGAAUGGAAUCCAGAAAAAUCCUGCUGCAAUUAAUAGAAUGUCGCAACACUUAAUAAUCUAAAACAUAAUCCUGAAAGCCGUUCCUUAAAAUAGCUAAUUCCAAUGCCAUGGUCAUCGACUAUUCAGCACCAGCGGGUUCCAUUUGUUGCCUCUCGUCGAUUCCAUGGAGCUCGUAUCUCGCAAACAAUCAAUAAUCAAUUUACGGACGUUUCAAUACUGGAAUAGAACAUAUUCCUUAAAUAUUGUACAAAAAUGUAAAAAAGAAUUCUAAUAAAAUAUUUGAAAUGGUUCUGAAUUUUACAAUGUAAACAAAAAGAAGCAUACAAAGAACAAAAAGAAGAAGAAUCAAUAGGUACCCAUGUCUCCAUCAUAUCUAGCAAAAAUCUAGAAGAACUGUGGUACUCAUGUCUAGGAGAUAUCUCUGCGUUUUCUAAGAGAACCGAUAUGUCAAAUUUCUUUCGGUUUAAACGGUUCAAACGGUCUACUCGUCUAAAAUUUUGAGGUAGACACCGGUUUAAACGGUUGUUGCAUUUGAGGCGGAUUUGAGGUCUGACAGGUUCUAGACAUCGAAGAAAAAUAUCUAGGAGACUAUUUUUUUUGUCUCAGAGAUAUCACGGUAGAAGUCUAGA